ensembl:snoRNA
AUCCUUUUGUGGUUCGUAAACAUGAUGGCUGGGUUCAUAAACAUGAUGAUUGGGUGUUCACACAUGUGUGUGAGAUGUGCUUCCCUCAAAGCUUGUUACAAUUCAACCAUUACCCACCUGACA